rnacentral:lncRNA from 1 species
AGAAAAGCUCCCGAAACUGAAGGACUGCCAGGCAGCAGAGUUCCGGAGGGCUCCCAGGACCUUCAACCAGAAAGAGACAGAGCAUAUGCGCAUAUGUAUGUCUGAGCCCGUGCACGGAGGAGGAGUAUGAACAGACACCGCGGGACAGAUGGCUGGAGUUUAGUCCCUUCCUUCGGGGCUCUUCACCACUCCUUGGGCUUCCCUUCUCCUGUCCAGCCCUGUCCUGGGUGCACAGAGAGGGAAGUCACUCCAUUCCUGCCCUUGAGGAGCUCCCAGACCCAGGGCAGGAGCAGGAUGCAGACAAGUAGACAGCACCCUGGGCCCUGCAAGGAAUGUACUAUAGAGCCAAUUUUACCGGCAAAGGAAUGGAAGAUCUGAAAGGCUAGGCGAUCCCACAAGCAUCGAGGAGCAGGCUGGAAUUUGAACCAAUCGGCAUGAUUCCCAAGCUCAAGCUUUUGGCCACCCCUGCACUGCCAGGGACAAAAAAAAAAAAAAAAAAAAACCCUGGGAGGAGAGCCAAGCUAGGGAGUCAAGACCCUCCAGCCAGGUCUGGAUGGGAGGCAGGUGCCUCCACCCUGGUCCCAGAGCAAGUU